rnacentral:rRNA from 1 species
UGGGGAUGACGUCAAAUCAGCACGGCCCUUACGUCCAGGGCUACACACGUGUUACAAUGGCCAGUACAGAGGGCGAGCCACCCCGCGAGGGGGCGCUAAUCCUAAAAGCUGGUCCCAGUUCGGAUCGGAGUCUGCAACCCGACUCCGUGAAGCUGGAUUCGCUAGUAAUCGCGCAUCAGCCACGGCGCGGUGAAUACGUUCCCGGGCCUU